UAAAUGGAGGGUAAAAGAGACGAUUAAUCAAUCAAUCAUUUAGAAAGAGGAAUUCCAGAAGCCAGAGAGAAACCCUUUCAACUAAAAUUAUAAUAAAAUUCAACUUCUUAUCUCUUUCUCUCUCUAAAAUCCUUCAUAUUGCUUCACUCUUUUUCCUUUGUUUCUUCGGAUUGUUUCCCAAGUUUCGAUCCAAAAACCCUAAAAUCUACUCCCUUUUAAUCUCAAUCGUUUUUUUAUUUUAAUUUAUUUUAAUUUCCCAAUAUUAUUCCUUCAAAAUUUUAAUUUCUUCCCGAACCCCAAAAAAAUUGUUUCUUUAUUUUCUGUGUAAUAUUUUUUGAUUUUUUCGUUUAAUUCCAAUCAAGAGCUUUAAGAAAAGUUUAGUUUACUAUUUUUUAAUAAUAAAAUAAAAUUUUGGGUUUUUCUUCUUUGUUCUGUUUGGAUUGGAAGUUUGUUUCUUUCUAGUUUUCCUGUAUUAUUAUUUUUUGUGAAAAAUAUUCUCUAUGUUUUAUUUCCAAUAGAGACACUUGUAACCCGAAAAUUUCUUCAGUUAAGAGGUUGUUUCUUUCUGGGUUUUCAUCAAUUCCUCUUAAUUUCUGCUUUGAAAAGAAAAACCCCAGAUAUUGGUUUAAAUUUUUUAAGGAACAACCUUUAGUGUUAUGUUAAAAGGAGAUAUUGGGGGAAUUAUCGGAGAGAAAUUUGAAUUUUCUGGAUUGUUUCAAUUUUGGGUUUCUUAAUUGGGUGUUUGGGAUUAUGAGGAACAGUGGAGAUGGACAAGGGCAAUCUAAAACGCAAGGUGGUGGUGUCGUUUCCAAGUCAGCUCGGAGUUCAUUACGUGCAAUUUCCAGUUACUUCAGGAUUGUUUCUUCCGGGGCUUCCACUGUGGCACGGUCGGCUGUUUCCGUAGCAUCAUCGAUUGUGGACAGGGAAGACGAUUCUGGGUAUGAUCAGGUUAAUUGGGCUGGCUUUGACAAGUUAGAAGAUGAGAAAGGUGUCAUUCGACAAGUUCUCCUGCUUGGUUAUUGGUCGGGUUUUCAGGUUUGGGAUGUUGAAGAUGCUGAUAAUGUCUGUGACUUGGUUUCAAGACGUGAUGGUCCCAUUUCAUUUAUGCAAAUGCUACCAAAACCAGUAGCAGCAAAGAGAUCAGGAGACAAGUUUGCAAACAGCCGUCCCCUUUUGGUGGUUUGUUCUGAUGGGUCCCUCUCUGUGGGUACUUGUAUUCAGGAUCAUUCUUGCAAUGGAAGCAUACCACACAACAAUUAUUCAGGGAAUGGUAGCAUUGUUUCUGCCAUUGUCCAGUUUUAUUCCUUGAGAUCUCAAUCUUAUGUACACAAGCUAAACUUUAGAUCAGUUGUUUAUUCUGUAAGGUGCAGUUCUCGAAUUGUUGCUAUAGCUCUAGCAACUCAGAUACAUUGUUUUGAUGCCACCACAUUAGAAAGGGAAUAUACCAUUCUUACAAAUCCUAUAAUUACAUCCUCCGCUGGUUCUGGAGGUGUAGGUUAUGGACCUUUGGCAGUUGGUCCUAGAUGGCUGGCUUACAGUGGUAGUCCAGUUGUAGGUUCUAAUUGUGGACGUGUCAGUCCACAACAUCUUAUGCCUUCUGCAAGUUUCCCUGGUUUUUCUUCAAAUGGGAGCCUGGUUGCACACUAUGCAAAAGAAUCAAGCAAGCAACUUGCUGCUGGGAUUGUGACCCUAGGAGACAUUGGAUAUAAGAAACUGUCAAGAUACUUGCCGGACUCAUACAAUUCUGUGCAAUCGGGAAGUCCUGGCUGGAAAGGAAAUGGAAAUGCUAAUGGUCAUUUUCUCGAUACUGAUAACAUUGGAAUGGUUAUUGUUAGAGAUAUUGUCAGUAAGGUUGUUAUUGCUCAGUUUAGGGCACACAAGAGCCCUAUUUCAGCAUUAUGCUUUGAUCCCAGCGGGACACUUCUUGUGACAGCUUCAGUUCAGGGUCAUAAUAUCAACGUGUUCAAGAUUUUGCCUGGACUUCAAGGAAGCACUUCUGCUUGUGAUGUACCAGCAUCACAUUCACAUCUCUACCGACUGCAGCGUGGUUUUACAAAUGCUGUAAUACAGGAUAUUAGUUUCAGUGAUGAUAGCAACUGGAUUAUGAUUAGUUCUUCAAGAGGGACAAGCCAUCUAUUUGCUAUCAAUUCAAUGGGUGGAUCUGUAAGUUUUCAGUCUGCUGAUGCUGGUUUUGCUCCUAGAAGUAGCAGUUUGGGUGUUAUGACUAAGCCACAAGUUCAUUGGCCACCUAAUAUAGGAGUGCAAACACCUACUCAAUCAAGUUUUUGUGCUUCUGGCCCUCCGGUGACACUUUCUGUUGUUAGCAGAAUAAGGAAUGGAAAUAAUGGUUGGAGAGGCACUGUAAGUGGUGCUGCAGCAGCUGCAACAGGCAGGAUGGGUUCUCUUUCAGGGGCCAUUGCUUCUUCUUUCCAUAACUGCAAAGGCAAUAAUCUUUUGUUUACCGAGAGCAACUAUUUGAAGACAAAAUAUCACCUUCUGGUUUUCUCUCCUUCUGGUUGUAUGAUACAGUAUGCUUUGCGACUGUCCCCUGACCAAGAUCCGACACCAGUUGUUUCUGGAUUAAAUGCAGCAUAUGAAUCAACUACAGAAUCUGAUGGAAGGUUAGUAGUCGAGGCAAUGCAGAAGUGGAAUAUUUGUCAGAAACAAACCCGAAGAGAGAGAGAAGAUAAUGCAGACAUAUAUGGCGAGAAUGGAACAUCAGACACUGGUAAAGUAUAUCCUGAAGAAAUCAAAGAGGGAACUACAUUCACUAAUCCAUCCACUGUUGACAAAGCAAAUACCAACCCUCAGGAAAAACAUAAUUUGUAUAUUUCGGAAGCUGAACUGCAGAUGCAUCAAGCUCAGACACCAUUGUGGGCAAAACCAGAGAUAUACUUUCAAUCAAUGGUGAUGGAUGACAUCAACAUGGCUGAUGAAAAUGCUUUUGUUGGGGAAGUUGAAAUUGAAAUGUUGCUAACUCGCAUGAUUGGAACACGGAAAAAAAGCUUAGUUCCAGUUUUUGAUUACCUUCAAAGCUUUAAAUUCCAGCAAGCAAGGGUUCCAACUGUAGAUAGCAAUAACAAUGGAUGGCUGCUGCAUCAGAGGUCAGGUUUGUCUGAAAAUGGCCGGCUUUCAUGUAGAAGUAUUUCUGGCUCUCUUAAUUGCAUGACCGAAAAUGGUGAUGCAGUUGAUGAACUUCAAAAUGGCAUAGAAGAAACUAGAUUGAAUGGUCGUCAGAUGCCUUUAGGAACUAAGGGCUUUGUAAAUAGAAGUGACAGCCCUAAAACCAACACUCGGCUUGAGAUUGUAAAUAAUAGUGAGAACUCAAGAAUGGAAGCUCAACUCAAGUUUGUAAAUAAUAACAGUGAAGACCUCAAUAUGGGGAAUCUUUUUGGAGAUGAAGGUGAUGAGUAUGAUUAGAGGUAAUCUUAUUAUUUCUAGUUAAAAUUAUUUUGUUUAAUGUUAACAUUACAUGUGUCCAAACUAAUCAUCUUUGCCUGCACAAGCUUGCAUAAAACUGAAAAGUGAUAGUUAAUAUAAAGUUCACAAGUUUCACCUGCACCUAGAUGUUCAUUAUUCCUUGUAAUGUAUGAUGAUAUGAUGCCAUCUUCCUCAGUUGGCGGAUUUUGUUGUCACUUGUCAUUGUAAUGUGUCAUUACUUUCCUCAUAGUUUUAUUUAAUGGCUUGAUAAAGCUCCGCACAUAGGACACGGUGGACGCUCUGCUGUGACAAAUAGUUUCCAUAUGAACUAACAAAGAUUUUUAGAUUAUGAACUUGUAUGCUUGAACAGGGUGUUGUACCCGUUGUUAUGUUAUUUGAGGCUAAGCCGUUUUUCGGGAUUCCAUCUGCUAAAUAUCAAUUACUUUACGUGUGGAAUUUUAUUCUUUUGAUUCUCCAGAGAGUCUGAUUAACAGUGUUUAAUACUUAUGGGGGUGGCAAUGUAAACAAGAGACAGACAAUGGAUGCUUCGGCUGUGAAGUGAAUUGUUUAGUACCAUGUUGUUGGGUUUUUCAUAUGUUAACUUUGUAAAUUAUAGACAAUGAAUUUCCCAAUAUUUAGUUGUGAUAUGUAAAUAAUAGAAUUACCUUAUUAACUCCAACUCUUCUAUUCUAUUAAUUUAAAAAGUUUAUUUGUUACCAUUCAA